rnacentral:tRNA from 1 species
UCCUCGGUGGCUCAGUGGUAAAGAAUCUGCCUGAAAUGCAGGGGACACGGGUUCAACUCCUGGUCCAGGAA